AAGGAACUUCAAGCUGGAGUGGACCACUCUUAGACUGGUAUAAUCCUGCACUGCAUUACUCUUGUGACUAUUUUCUUGUACAAUAUACUUUCUCAUGCACCUUUUUAUAACCAUUGUGAAUAAGGGUUUUGCUUUUCCUACAUUGAAGUAUGUACAAGAUAAUCAUCAUGCCCAUGGUACGGCCUAUUUUACUGUGAUCAUAAUAAAAAAAGCACAAGCAUUAAAUUUAUCUCGUGUCUUUUUUCCAAUUUUCCACAAAAUUCUUAGAUUGUUGCUUUUUUACCUUUUUUUUACCCUACUUGAGAGCAUGUUAAAACUUGGUUAUUUGGAGCAAAUAAUGUUGAAAGCAAGGUUCAGCGGCUGAUAUAGUGAUCUCAAAACAGUAUUCCUCAACUAAAGGAAGAAAUGAAUUCUGAGGCAUGUCUUUUGAGUAAGUUUUGAAUAGUAUUAUGUGGCUAUUACUGUUAGGGGAUUUUGGCCAUAAUGCGAAAUAUAAACUACAUACAACAUAGAAUGUUUAUUAGGAGGUUAUAAUUUUGUUAAUUCAAGGAUAAACCCUUGAGAAUGAUGAAAUCUUCUACUUUCAACUUUUGCCUUUGUCAUUAAUGGUUUUUCUUCUUUUUAUUGUUUUCUGUCAGCUACUUUUGCACCACCCCUUGACUCACCCAAAUCUAAGGCCUUUAUUACAUUUCUUGGUGUUGCUCUUGCUUGCUCGUGGCCCUCGUUGGUUUGCAAGAGACGAAUCGGAGCAAACUUGGAUUAAGCCUAAUUAGGAGACCAAAGGAAUCUGGGCAAGAAUGAUGGAGGAACAAUGAAUCCCAAACAAAUCAGAUGAGGUGCAGUCUCUGCAUCAAUUCAAAAGCAGAAUUCAUGGAAGACAUCAUCCUCGUACAAAAUCAAAAGAAGAAAUGGAUGAUGAAAAACAUAAUUUUGCAAGGACAAACAGACCAAUCAAAAUACAACAUGAUUACCUUCAAUGAUAUGGAUACAGUUGGAGCAACCUGUCAAAAAUAAGCAGAAAGCUUACAAAAUUUUCAAAGAAAAAAAGGAAGGACAAACUUAGUUUUAUAUUUUUAUUUACACUGAACAAUUAUCUUUUUUUUUUUCUUAAGAGUUUUCAUGCCUUCAUCGUUUCAUUCUAUUUUAGGAGAGCUGAUAUGAGUUAUACUGUUUAUACGAAAGAGAGAGCUUAGAAAGUGAGAAUCAAUUUCUGUUAUGAAAAAGGCAGAG